rnacentral:lncRNA from 1 species
AUCAGCUUUAGAGAUGGUAACAUGGUGCUGCACUCUCAGGAUCAUCUCAUGAUACACAAUCAAUUUUUGGUGUGCUCAAAUUUUUAAUUUUAGUGAUAAGGAAAGAUCCUACCUAGUUUGCUGGCUCUCUCAAUUGAGUUGGUUUAACAGUAGUGGCCUCCUGACUUGUAGUUGGGUAGGUGCCUGAUGCAUGUAUCAUGUGACAUACACAGAAUUAACUUUGACAUAGUUGCUCUGUUACAGUAGAUGGCAAGAUGAAUAGCUAGUGUCUGUUUAAUUCAAUCAUGCACCUGGUAGUUUAAUAGGUACUAUUGAUUGAAUAUGAAUGUUAUUCCUUAUACUCAAAUGGAACUUCGAUCUGUUGUAACUUUGAAUCAUGCACCUUGCUCGUUUGCUGCUAAGUUUGUCAUAUGUGCCAAUUCAAUUCCCAAUUUUGAUGAAUAGCCAUAUUCUGGAUAACUAGAAUGAUCUGGUUAAUAAUAAUAAUAAUAUGUAGAAUGAUAAUAUACUGGUGUAUCUUUACUUUUUAUUUUAAAAGUACUCUGUAUUCUAUCAGUGACAUACCUUUUGUUCUCUUUUGAAUGCUCAGAUGUUUUGCAUCAGCCUGUCAUUGCUAAGGGAGAAGCGGGACUUGGAGAAGAAAUCUUUCCAUUAAGCAGAUUACAUGUUUGGUUGCUGUGAAGUACUAGAUAGGCUAGUUCUAUUUUUUUCACGAUCCUGGAGUAUUUCAGCAGCGCCAUGCAAAUGCAGUAGCGUUAGGUUUCUGAUUCACCUAUUGUAAAAACUUAGAGUUAGCCCGCAGUCAGUCAGUAGUAGCUCAGCCAGCCAGCCUCAAAUAGUAUUGCUGGAAUGAAUGGUUGUAAUAAUAACAUUG